rnacentral:rRNA from 1 species
GACGAACGCUGGCGGCGUGCUUAACACAUGCAAGUCGAACGGUAAGGCCCUGCUCUUGUUGGGUGCUCGAGUGGCGCACGGGGGUGUAACACGUGUGUAACCUGCCCUUGACACUGGGAUAACUGCAGGAAACUCGGGCUAAUACAGCGUAGGAGCUCCUGCUGCAUGGUGGGGGUUGGAAAGAUUCGGCGGUUGGGGAUGGACUCGCGGCUUAUCAGCUUGUUGGUGGGGUAGUGGCUUACCAAGGCUCUGACGGGUAGCCGGCCUGAGAGGGUGACCGGCCACAUUGGGACUGAGAUACGGCCCAGACUCCUACGGGAGGCAGCAGUGGGGAAUAUUGCACAAUGGGCGGAAGCCUGAUGCAGCAACGCCGCGUGCGGGAUGACGGCCUUCGGGUUGUAAACCGCUUUCGCCUGUGACGAAGCGUGAGUGACGGUAAUGGGUAAAGAAGCACCGGCUAACUACGUG